UUAGCAUUGGUUCCAUAUUGAUGGACCGA
rnacentral:misc_RNA from 1 species